GACGAACGCGGCGGCGUGCUUAACACAUGCAAGUCGAACGAAGAGCGAUGGAAGCUUGCUUCUAUCAAUCUUAGUGGCGAACGGGUGAGUAACGCGUAAUCAACCUGCCCUUCAGAGGGGGACAACAGUUGGAAACGACUGCUAAUACCGCAUACGAUCUAAUCUCGGCAUCGAGGAUAGAUGAAAGGUGGCCUCUACAUGUAAGCUAUCACUGAAGGAGGGGAUUGCGUCUGAUUAGCUAGUUGGAGGGGUAACGGCCCACCAAGGCGAUGAUCAGUAGCCGGUCUGAGAGGAUGAACGGCCACAUUGGGACUGGGACACGGCCCAGACUCCUACGGGAGGCAGCAGUGGGGAAUCUUCCGCAAUGGACGAAAGUCUGACGGAGCAACGCCGCGUGAGUGAUGACGGCCUUCGGGUUGUAAAGCUCUGUUAAUCGGGACGAAAGGCCUUCUUGCGAAUAGUGAGAAGGAUUGACGGUACCCGGAAUA
rnacentral:rRNA from 1 species